CGGAAUCGUUUGUUAGUUCCGAAUAUACUAAGUAAAACGUUUGUUAGAUCACGGUUUCGCUAAAAAAAGCGAAAAACUGUAUAUCGUUUAGCUGCCGGAGAGUGGGGAUUAGCAUAGCAUUGUACUACGACGCAGUUUACGAAUAUUCCGAACCGAGAAUAUUACGAACAGAAACCUCAACGGAGUAAAGUGAAUAAUACCGUAUACCAUAGAGAAGACAGUAAACGAAGUAAAUAUAUGCAGAGAAGUCGCGGACGGCUUGCGUAUAUAUUUCGAUUUCGCAUAUUACCUCAUCUCCUGUUAUAUAGGACACUCGACGAGCUCCGGGUUUUCCCUAUCGAUGACGACGGUGAAUGUCUGCCAAGGAUAUGCGCCAGAAGAUGAACAAGAUCUCUUCAACAGAAAAUUGAAUCGCCCAGCAUGUCGAGUAUUUUCCGCAAGAAGUAAACUCCCCUUUGUGUCUUAUAGCAAGAAAUUCUGUGUGAGAAAAUCGAGUAUCACGUCGGCAAGAGAUUCGCGAGUGCAAGCACAAAAAAUUGUUGUUAGGCAUAAAUGUAUAAUGUUGUUUCAACGAAUGUUAACUUAUUUUUUUAUCGCGCUAGCUCUAUGAGUGACGUGUAAAUUAUUUUGUUUAAAUAUUAACACGGUCUGAGGAGUUUAGAGAUGAGAAAAGACGAAUGUUUUUUCACGUUUUGUAAAAUUCGGAUGUCCAUUGUGUCUGCACUCUCGCAGCGUUUGGAAUUUUCUCACUUUCUCAUGAUCCUCUUUAGGUAAAAGAAAAGAAAAAGAGUAAAUUCAAAACGCCACGAUUAACAGUAAUUAAUGUUUAAUUUCGAAGUCUGUCACUUUACAUAGUAAUAAACAAACGUCAUAGAUCAUAUAUCAUAUCAAAUUGUAUAUCGCAUAUCCGCAUAUACAUAUAUAUAUA